GAAUUUAGAAAAAAAAAAAAAAAUCAGUUUCCCAAUAGUCAUUUAUCAUUAACUUUUUUUUUAGCGUCAAUUAAAUAUUUGCACAGGGCCAGUGACGUGACAGUAAAGACGAGCAGGUGUAAAUUGUA